CAGUCGCCGCGGGAAUACGUAGGGUGCGAGCGUUAAUCGGAAUUACUGGGCGUAAAGCGUGCGCAGGCGGUUAUGUAAGACAGUUGUGAAAUCCCCGGGCUCAACCUGGGAACUGCCUCUGUGACUGCAUAGCUAGAGUACGGUAGAGGGGGAUGGAAUUCCGCGUGUAGCAGUGAAAUGCGUAGAUAUGCGGAGGAACACCGAUGGCGAAGGCAAUCCCCUGGACCUGUACUGACGCUCAUGCACGAAAGCGUGGGGAGCAAACAGGAUUAGAUACCCCCGUAGUCCCUGUCUCUUAUAC
rnacentral:rRNA from 1 species